GUGAUUAUAAUAUAUAUUGUAUUUAGGUGUGUAGGUACUAUUUAAAUAAAAUGCAAUGAGUAAUAAUAUCGUAUGUCAGCUUUAUAUUAUGUACGUUUACUCUCUUGAUAUCACGUCUACAUAGGUUUUUUUUAGAAUAAUAGCACUUAGUAACUAGAUUAGUAUGUACUUAAUAGGUACAUAUAACUAUCUACAUACCAAUCUCUUGUUUUGGAUAAGGGAAUGAAACCUGAGCUUGAAAGCCUGUGGAUUAGUGCCUAAUCCACUUUGCUAGAAGAUUGCAUUGUGGUGUUCCUGCAUUAAGACUACAUUCUACAGAAUAAGCUCCCAUAAGCUGUCAGUGCAGUAACACUCCUGUAUAAUUUUGUAAUAAUAUAAAAAUUUAAAAUUAAAUAAAUUGUUUUUUAUAGCUAGAACCAGCAAGAAACUCGACGGUUGCUCAUUUCAAAGAUUUGAUAUACUGAAUGAGUUAUUGGUUAGGUUAGAGAGCUGUGGCAGGCAUGCCAGUCUUCAUUGUUAUUUUUUUAUAACCACUUCUUGAAUGACCUUCCCCUUUUCUCCUCACCCUAUCGAGGGUAAAAGUUUUACCAAUAUCAAUUUUAUCAAAAUUAAAAAAUUCAAUAAAAUAAUCCAUCUGGGAAGGAGAGGGAUUGACUUACCCUCCUCUCCCUCUUGCCCAUCCCACCCCCACUUACGUCCUAUCGAGGCGGCAUGUUUCAAAAUAUUGAGCCAUACAAAUAAACAAAAU